rnacentral:lncRNA from 1 species
CCCUUGAACUUUUCUUACUACUAGGCUCUACAAAGAUGCGUACUUCUUUCUUUAAGAUGCUGAGCUUAGCAAUGACCUACUCCUGUCAACAAUGGCUAAAAAUGAAAUAUUAUGGGUUGCGAAUGGAGGGCAUCGGGAGGACCAACACUGUAGCUUGUAGGUAGGAGCACCGCUCGUUGAGGACGAUCUGCCCAAGUGGAGAAGCUGUUUCUGGCUCAAUGCAAUCCAGAGUCACCUUGAUCCAAAGCCAACCGUCUACUGUUCAAGAGAAGAGGAUGGCACAGAUGAAUUCUUGACAACAUGGAAGCAAUGGCUGACCAGGAGCCUUCCAAUGGCUGACUAGGAGCGCCGCUGUCGACUGUAAUUCUCGGAAAAUGGCAGUUCGUAUGUCUCCCUUCCUUUUUUUUCCGCACCUGCCGAUCUGUCCUGGUUUAUGUUUGAUAAGCUAUAUCAGGAUAUGUGGUACCAUAAGGCACAAGGCUAUGUCAUUGUUACUGAACAUGUUCUCUGGCGAUGAACAAUGAUAAUAAGUUACAGCCACGUAGAAAACCAUUUCUAUGUCAGUUUUUGCAAGAAGACUCUGCAGUACACCGUUUCAGCAGGUAUGUUGGAUGCAAAUAAUUGUUGAUUCCUGUGAUGUAUGACUAAUACAAGCGACUGCACUGUUUUCUUGUUGUCGUUUUGCUUGCUCAAUUUGGUCUAUCACAUAGGAGGCCUCACGGAUAUAGGUUUCAAGUUCUCAUGUUUAGCAUUAGGCUAUGGGGAAUGAGAAAAGACCUCAAACUGCUAGUCCGUUGGGGUUGGUGGUAACUUGUUUGUCAGUUGUCACUCCGCCUCUUUAGAUUUCAACCAGUGUUUUCCUACAACGGAUUCUGUUUUUGUCCAUAGAUUAGAUGCCCUGCUUCACUGUUUUUCUCCUUUUGCUUGGAGUUUACUUUCGCAUCAGCUUGAGUCAGCAACACACUCUGUAAUCUUGCACAAUAAGCGCGAUGGAAACGAAAGAGGCGAAGAGGACCAACACGUUUAGCAGGAGCACAACAUGCAUAAUCAACAAUAGAUAUAUAGUCUGAGUUGAAAAAGGAACCACGAUGAGAGAGAGAGAGAGAGAGAGAGAGAGAGAGAGAGAGAGAGAGAGAGAGAGGCCUAUUAUAUUUUUUGAAAGGGCAGCAAGAGAUCUGCUUCAAGUAUAUUACAAGGGGAAAAUCUGUUUUGAUGAACCUAUGAUCUUACUCUCUCGUUAUGAUAUAAAAAGUUAGCAUGAAAAAUCAUAUUAAAAUCCUGAUAAGCAAAACAUAAGUUAUUUGGAUUUCGACAAGCAAAACAUCAGAACAGUAAGUUCUUACAAUUUAUUUUUUCUAUAUAACACAACAGACAUGUAGAUGAAAUGAACUUUGGAAAAGUUAAUAACUAAAUAUGAUUAACACCGGGCUCCAUUACUUAUCUUGUGUUCUUGGGAGUGUGGCACAACCACACAGGUCAUCAACAAACACUGACUCCCACUCCCAACUUACCCCCACUCCCAACUUACCACUACAAAAUGAACUGACCUUCACCACAGUCUUAUAUAUAGUACAUUAGUCUCCACAAACUCGGCCAUUUUUCCCCCGAUGAUCCGCAAACUCAGCCUUCCUCUGUCUAUAUAUACAUACAUCUCGUCUUGAUCCUUUUUGAGUUGUAAUAUACAUCACACAUGUGCCUUAUCAAAAUUUCACAUCAUAUACAUGAUAAUAUAAGAAAGUGAUGUAUUUGCUGAAGGGAAUUGGAGAACAAUUUUGUAAUGGGAGGUAUCAGGAUAACUUUCAUAAGAUAGAUAAUCUGUAUGCAUCUCCCGUCGGAACCCCAUGGGCGUCUGUCUCCUAUCCGGCGUCUGGCUUUUCGGUGCCAGUAGUGAGGCUGACGCCUUCCCACUCAAUGCCGGAUGUGGAACAUGAUAUGGCAGGCGGCCACUGAUCCAGCUUGGUGCCAGUGACAGAUGCAGACCAAGAAGGCGGCCAUGAUGCAGCUCCAGCCUAGUACCAGACGCACCACAGUUUCAAGCGGGCGAUCACUGUUCAGGCGACACCGCUGUUCUUCGCAUCAAGGUUUUCCUAUUAGUUUUUUUUUUAAUUUCUAUUCUGCAGGUCGAUCUUAGUCUAUAGGAGGAUUUUCGUUGUACCACAGCGUGUAUGGAUCUUCCAACAACGUCUUCAUUUCAGUUUUAGUUUGGCUCAUCCGCCAAGAAUUCUCCAAAUUUCAUCAAAGGACGUCAUGCAUCUCUUGUUUACCCAUCGCUUGGCCUUUCAUCUGCAGUGUCAGGCGGUGCACAGUUAACAUCGUUUGAAGAUUCUGGCGGUGCAAGUCUGGCUGUGGAGACCGAUCAACAGUGUGAGAUUGAGCAUCAACAGUCCUCACCUUUUUUUUCAGAGAUGCCGAACGAAAAUGUUUACAGGAAAACAUGUCUCACUUAGGCCAUCUUCUCAGGAUCCACUUUGAUGAGUGCUAAUCAGGUGCAGCCGUGCAGGUCUCGUCUUCACCGAUCAGUAUAGGGAAAAUUUUCUCAACCUUAUUGAUUGUUUAUUGUGUUCUUCAAUGUCUGAAACCACUACAGGUUGUCAGUGUUGUUGUAAUGCUUUAUUCUCCUAAUUUGCACUUGUAGCUUCUGGGAUAGGUAGGGUUGAAAGUUGAAACUUGGGUGGCCAUAUCUGUAAGGUGCUGUGCUUGGAAACAAAUAUCAGUAUUUCUGGAUUGAUUUGGUGCAGGCUUUUUACUGUGGUGAAUUCAAUAUUUGCACGGUC